CGUCCGUCGCUUCGUUUCCCUCGAAAAAGCCUGAAGUGCAUGCUACCAUAGAUUGACAGCGGAUCUGCACGCCUCGCGGACACACGGCGGAGGAUGUUGGAUCGCGACACGGCGAUACAUCUCGUCGCCGGAGGAGUGGCUGGUACGGCAGGAGCAAUAGUUACUUGUCCACUUGAAGUAGUAAAGACCCGAUUGCAGUCGUCGUCUUCCGGUUUUCAUCCGCCUCCAGUAAGCAAGGAAUUUACAUCUGGUCAUCCAACAUGCAAAGGUUCUCCAACGCCCGAACAACGUAGGAGGCUAUGUACCGGAUAUCAUAGGUAUUCCAGUCACUUCGUAUCUCUUUCACAUUUCGGUGUCUCGACCUCACCUCCAGAUUCUUCUCGGCAUGCGCCGGGAAUCUAUCAAUGCUUAAGAUACAUCAUCAAAAAUGAGGGUGCACGAGGACUAUUUAAAGGUCUUGGUCCGAAUCUCAUUGGCGUGGCACCCUCCAGAGCUAUCUAUUUUUGUGCGUACUCCAAGAGCAAGGUCAUGUUUAAUGCGAUUCUACCUCCCGACACUCCAAUCGUCCAUGUUUUCUCCGCGUCCUGCGCUGGUUUCACUGCGUGUACGUUGACAAAUCCGAUUUGGUUUAUAAAAACUAGAUUGCAGCUGGACCACCGAUCGCAAAAAGUCUCAGCGAUAGAAUGCAUGCGGAGGAUAUAUCGACAAUCGGGUAUCCUGGGAUUCUACAAAGGUAUCGUGGCAUCCUAUGUAGGCAUAAGUGAGACUGUGAUACACUUUGUGAUAUACGAAGCUGUGAAGGCGUGGCUAGCUACACAUAGGUCGCGAGCUUCUCAAACAGAUGAUAGGAAGACGUUCCGCGAUUUCAUUGAAUUUAUGGUGGCAGGCUCAUUUUCAAAAACGAUAGCGUCAACUGUUGCCUAUCCUCACGAAGUUGCUAGGACCCGAUUAAGGGAAGAAGGCACCAAAUAUCGCACAUUUUGGCAAACCUUGAACACUGUGUGGGUGGAAGAGGGCACAAAAGGUCUCUAUCGAGGCCUUGGUACUCAACUGAUCCGACAGAUUCCAAACACCGCUAUUAUAAUGGCAACAUAUGAGGCGGUAGUAUACGUUCUGACCCGACACUUCCGGCCAGUUACGGUAACAACAUCCAGUACCGAUGUGACGUCGGAAUUCUACAACGAAGCUAAAGCGAAGAGAGAGCUGGCCUAGGACUUGCUUACGGCUCCUGAGUAAAGAGCCAUCAAUCACUUCUUCUCCAGUAGGUGAAUACUGCACAUACUCGGGGCAGCAUUCUAAGAUCUAAUUGCACGUCUAGACGCAUCGAGAACAGUUGGAUAUGCGUUUGAUGCCCUUAAUCACUGCUCCAGGGGUACUCAAAAAGAUAGCAUGUACAUAUCCAGACACGGGCCCGCUGCAGGGAGAAAAAGAGAGAGGGGUAAGGGAAAGAAAAGAGAAAUUAAGGAAAGCAGAUUUUUUUAGCAUCGAAUAGAUGAUGGCUGAGACUUCGCUUUUUGUUCACGAAAAUAUAAACAUGCGUGAAUACCACGAAAAAUGAGCUUGUGUUACAUAUUAAGGUUUACUGGAGGCAAGAUUAUUCUCUACUCCAGAAAUAAAACUCACUUCGAAUCCAAAGUGUGAGGCUCAUUGUGUAAGAGUCACUAUAAACUUUAGGUCUCUGAUCUAAGGAUUCUGAUUCUGAUAUUUUUUUUCCAUGAUUUGCAGUUUUCCUUGCAUCUCGCUUCUUUUCUCAUUUUUUUUGUUUAUAAGAAAAAAAAUUAAAAUUAAAAACAAAAGAUACAAAAUUAGACUUUGAAAUUAAUAUUUGUAUUGUACAAUGCUCGGUGAGAGAGCAGCAAAUGUAUAGCAAAUAUAUAGCGACUUCUAAGUUUAUAACAGUUUUGAUUUUUCAGUUGCUUGAAGUGAAAUAUUUUUACUAGAAAUUGAUUAAACUUGCUCUAAUUGUAAAUAAAAUAUUGUAAGUUCAUUUUUCUUAAAAAUUCCGGCACUUUUAUCUCAGAGAGCAUAAUGUUCAAAAUCAAGGCAUACAACAUCUUAAAGAUAUCUUAAUCAUAUUUUUAAAGUGUCCGAAAGACGUCUUAUGCCCCGAUUUUGGACAUUGUGUUGUCUGAAAUUCUAGGACUUUAGUAAAAA
rnacentral:misc_RNA from 1 species